GUAGGUGGCAAGCGUUGUCCGGAAUUAUUGGGCGUAAAGCGCGCGCAGGCGGUCCUUUAAGUCUGAUGUGAAAGCCCACGGCUCAACCGUGGAGGGUCAUUGGAAACUGGGGGACUUGAGUACAGAAGAGGAAAGCGGAAUUCCAAGUGUAGCGGUGAAAUGCGUAGAGAUUUGGAGGAACACCAGUGGCGAAGGCGGCUUUCUGGUCUGUAACUGACGCCGAGGCGCGAAAGCGUGGGGAGCAAACAGGAUUAGAUACCCUGGUAGUCCACGCCGUAAACGAUGAGUGCUAAGUGUUAGGGGGUUUCCCGCCCCCCUUAGUGCUGCAGCUAACGCAUUGAGCACUCCGCCUGGGGAGUACGGCCGCAAGGCUG
rnacentral:rRNA from 1 species